rnacentral:rRNA from 1 species
GAUGAACGCUGGCGACGUGCCUAAUACAUGCAAGUCGAGCGAACAGACGAGGAGCUUGCUCCUCUGACGUUAGCGGCGGACGGGUGAGUAACACGUGGAUAACCUACCUAUAAGACUGGGAUAACUUCGGGAAACCGGAGCUAAUACCGGAUAAUAUAUUGAACCGCAUGGUUCAAUAGUGAAAGACGGUUUUGCUGUCACUUAUAGAUGGAUCCGCGCCGCAUUAGCUAGUUGGUAAGGUAACGGCUUACCAUGGCGACGAUGCGUAGCCGACCUGAGAGGGUGAUCGGCCACACUGGAACUGAGACACGGUCCAGACUCCUACGGGAGGCAGCAGUAGGGAAUCUUCCGCAAUGGGCGAAAGCCUGACGGAGCAACGCCGCGUGAGUGAUGAAGGUCUUCGGAUCGUAAAACUCUGUUAUUAGGGAAGAACAAAUGUGUAAGUAACUAUGCACGUCUUGACGGUACCUAAUCAGAAAGCCACGGCUAACUACGUG